GUUUAAUUGAAUGAGGUACAAAUUUAAAUACGUCGAAUCAAUGUUAUGUGCGCGUAUUUAACUCCCAUAUGGAUGGACGCCAACAUUUCCGACAUCUGAUCAAGAGCGCCAUUUGACAGCAGGCCACUGUCAAGAUGUCCGCUUCUAAUUACAGAGUCGUCAGCCUCAAGCAGCAGAAGCGAGCGUCGGUGUCAAACGACACAGAGUGCGACGAUACUGCAGCAAUCCAGG